CCAGAAUUAAUUUAAAAUUAUGCCCUUUCAUAAUAUGUAAAGCAUUCCGGCCUAGCUCCAUUUUUGCGAGGGGUCAUUUUCAAAAUCAUUUGCGUAACGUAAAUAUGGCGGACGUGACGUCAUCAGCCGCCUUCAUCCGGGGACCGAGACCCUGGACCUUCCCUCCUCCCAGUGCCCUUCCAUUAGUAUUUAGUGUUAUUUCCUAUAUUUUCCAGCUGUUUUCAUGCAUAGAGAAGAAUAGAAAGAGGAGGAAAGAAGGAGAAAUGAAGAAGGAGGAGGAAGAAGAGGGAAGGGAAGGAGGAAGAGGAGAAGGAAAAGAAGAAAUAUUAAGAAAAGAUUUUCACUGAAUUUCCAGCGUUUUAAAGUGAGACGGCCCACAGAGUCGCGCCAAAAACGUGGAUCUACAGGCCAGGCAUCUUAUGUUUAACCAGGUGUACAAGGUGCUGGCUUUCAAGGGCUCCUCCACACCUACAGACACACGCACACACCACCAGAUACAGGAAGCCUUGGAUGUGCCCCUGUGCUCCCCCCCACGCCCCCCUCGCCGCCCUUGGCAGUGUGGGAACCUCGGUACACGCCAGAGUGCCAAAAUUAAUUGAUGAGCUACAGAACUACACCAUCGUUCAGGUGGCAGCCGGAGACCAGCACUCUCUUUCUCUCACCUCCUGGGGCCUGAUCUACGCACGGGGGUGACAAUGGGUACGGUGAGCUUGGCGUCAACUCCUGCGACAGUCACACCGCCACACGCAAGCUUGUCAAGAGUCUGGCCAGGAAGGUGACAGUGCAGCUGGCCUGUGACGCCAACCACACCCUUGCCUUGACUGCUGAUGGUGACAAAAUACCUUCGGCCAGUUGGCACUUAGACACCGACAGGGGCCCCAGAAGGAUCCUGCCCUGGUGACCUCCUUGGCUGGCACCCUCUUAGUCCUGCUGGCCGCUGCGGGUCACCACUCUGCUGCCGUGACCCAGGCCGGCUACCUGCUGUUGUGGGGGUCAAACAAGCAG